rnacentral:rRNA from 1 species
CACGUAGGGCGCAAGCGUUGUCCGGAAUUAUUGGGCGUAAAGAGCUCGUAGGUGGUUUGUUACGUCUGCUGUGAAAUCCUAGGGCUUAACCCUGGGCUUGCAGUGGAUACGGGCAGACUAGAGGUAGGUAGGGGAGAAUGGAAUUCCUGGUGUAGCGGUGAAAUGCGCAGAUAUCAGGAGGAACACCGGUGGCGAAGGCGGUUCUCUGGGCCUUACCUGACACUGAGGAGCGAAAGCGCGGGGAGCGAACGGG